GAUCGAUAGGGCACUCGGACGGACAAUAGCACACAAAACGCAUUUGGCCCAUGCCUUCUGCAGGCACCCCAUCAGGAGCUGCAUGGCUCACAGCAUGUGACAUGACAAAAGAAGAGAAAUACCCUGCUGGUGCCAGAGUCUGCUCAAAGCACUUCAAGCCUGAAGAUUAUGAUCCCAUACUGCAGUGUAAGCUGCUGAAGACAGCCAUCCCCACAUUGGUAUGGAAGCCAGCGCCACGCGUUUUCGUGCAUCGGAGACAGCAGCUACACCUACCGGUGCCAUCCUAAAACGGGUUCCGCAGGAUAAAGCUGGGCGAGGUGCCGCCGCCGCCUCCCACCGACGGUCGUCCCUCCUUAGGUGUCGCAGUACGGCACGUCACCGCCUCCGCCUGCCACCGAGGCUUCCACCCUCCUCAGCUGGAGCUUUACUAUCAUCUUUGCUCGUCUUCAUCGAGCUGUGCCAAGAACUAAGUACUUUUCGUAGCAACUUGUCAUUGGACGGGUACUGUAUCCAGGAAGCCAGCGCUUCUGCAACACCUCAGUCCACCGUGCACACGCAUGCCGAAACGACGCAUGCAGGAGCUGGACCAGUCAAAGCAGUGACGGCGUCAUCGGGCUUCUCGACUCCAAGUUCGAUAACAACGUUGGAGGCGAAUGCCAACACGGAAUUAUGGACGCCGCGACACCGAUGUGGCAGUGACGCCGAAUACAGCUCAGAGGAUGAGGGAGCGGUGAGGAGUAUCCAUCAAGGGCAGCACCUGCCGAAGAGGACUUUGACCCAGAACCAUCACCUGACUGCCAUCAUGACGAUGCCGAUAUGUUCCUCACGGUACCGAUGGACAACGACAACACCGAGAGGUAACACUAUGCCCAACACAACCAAAUGUGCGUCGCGGUCUACGGCCGAGCACAGGGAAAAUCGUCUCGUGAUCGCAAGGAGCUCCUGAGAUCGUCCGUUAUGCCCCAGAGAUGCGUAACCGAGGGGAAGCCACGAGAAAGAAAGCAGCAUCUCGUGCGCACAGUCGGAUCGCCUCUGACGACCCUCGCCAAGAACACCAGUACACAGCACAGACAGUGCGGCACACCGGUACAGAAGGAACGGCGGGGGCCCUUAAGAGUCAUCACGGCCGAGUCUGUGCGGUGGGCGGGAGCCAGCGCACCCCGCACACCAGGCACCCACCUCGCCCUGCGCGUAGCGCCAGCGCGACGGGCGCAGCGUGCGCGGAGCCAGCGCCCUCUGGGCGACGGGCCAGGCCCACGGCCGGUGGCAGCCAGCGCGGCAAUCGGCGGGAAGAGCUGUACGCUUGACAGGCGCAGGCCAAUAACCCGGAGCACGUGUCGUAAUCCAGCGUAGCCUGCGUUGCUGGGCUCCGGGAACUGCCUGCGCAUGCCCCAAACGCCGUGUGAUGGAAUAGCAUGACGAACGCCACCGCCGAGAGACCCCACCUGCGCCGAAAUGUCUUGUUGACGCUGCGUCACGAAACAGCUCAGUAUCAUGAUCGUUUCACGGUUUGCCAGCCCUCCCCGAUCAUCAUGUUUGUGAUAGUCACGUUGUGAUCUGGCGCCGGCUGACGUGAUUUGGUACGCUCUUUUGUACAAUGCUGUGUAUGCUGCGAUUCGGCCGCCGUCCAAUGCAGAAUGCAAUACGAUCAUCCGGCAUUGUGCCAUGCGGCACGCGGUACCAUCAUCACUCGACAGUGGCGGCGCGGUAACGCUGUUAGUGAUAAUUAGCCGUUGCCGACGCGCCUCAAGAUGUUGCGGACGCGUUCACGAAACCAAAACUUGGACCGCGAAACCCUUCAGAACUCUUCGACGUGUGCGCUGGGGUCUGACGGCUCUGAUGAGGCGAGGAAACGUCUCGCGUGUCAUAUCCCGUCGACCGUGCAACCACGGUCUAAAUGUUCUCAGCGGUUACCAACAAGGGACGCAAUAGCCGCGUUCCCCGCUGUAACCACAGGGGAUUUGCCAGUUUCCAUGUUGUACUAUGCAAUUGCACCGAAGUCUCAUUACGUACCGUUCCGGUCGCCAACGGUUGUAGGGAAAUGAGCGGCCGAAGUGUCGUGCCGUUUUAGUGGGAAUCACCGUAAGGACACAUGUAAAUCACGAAUCCAAUUAUCUGUUUUCACACGUGCGCAGUGAACAGGGAUCAAUAAACCCAGCGUGUA